UACGGGGGGGCAAGCGUUGUUCGGAAUUACUGGGCGUAAAGGGCUCGUAGGCGGCCAACUAAGUCGGAUGUGAAAUCCCCAGGCUCAACCUGGGAACUGCAUCCGAUACUGGAUGGCUUGAAUCCGGGAGAGGGAUGCAGAAUUCCGGGUGUAGCGGUGGAAUGCGUAGAGAUCCGGAAGAACACCGGUGGCGAAGGCGGCCUGCUGGGCAGUUGCUGACACUGAGGCGCGACAGCGUGGGGAGCAAACAGG
rnacentral:rRNA from 1 species